rnacentral:rRNA from 1 species
AUUAACAGGAUUAGAUACCCUGGUAGUCCACGCCCUAAACGAUGUCAACUAGCUGUUGGGGCCUUCGGGCCUUGGUAGCGCAGCUAACGCGUGAAGUUGACCGCCUGGGGAGUACGGUCGCAAGAUUAAAACUCAAAGGAAUUGACGGGGACCCGCACAAGCGGUGGAUGAUGUGGAUUAAUUCGAUGCAACGCGAAAAACCUUACCUACCCUUGACAUGUCUGGAAUGCCGAAGAGAUUUGGCAGUGCUCGCAAGAGAACCGGAACACAGGUGCUGCAUGGCUGUCGUCAGCUCGUGUCGUGAGAUGUUGGGUUAAGUCCCGCAACGAGCGCAACCCUUGUCAUUAGUUGCUACGAAAGGGCACUCUAAUGAGACUGCCGGUGACAAACCGGAGGAAGGUGGGGAUGACGUCAAGUCCUCAUGGCCCUUAUGGGUAGGGCCUCACACGUCAUACAAUGGUCGGGACAGAGGGUCGCCAACCCGCGAGGGGGAGCCAAUCCCGGAAACCCGAUCGUAGUCCGGAUCGCAGUCUGCAACUCGACUGCGUGAAGUCGGAAUCGCUAGUAAUCGCGGAUCAGCAUGUCGCGGUGAAUACGUUCCCGGGUCUUGUACACACCGCCCGUCACACCAUGGGAGUGGGUUUUACCAGAAGUAGUUAGCCUAACCGCAAGGGGGGCGAUUACCACGGUAGGAUUCAUGACUGGGGUGAAGUCGUAACAAGGUAGCCAAU